rnacentral:rRNA from 1 species
GAUGAACGCUGGCGGCGUGCCUAAUACAUGCAAGUAGAACGCUGAAGGAAGGAGCUUGCUCUUUCCGGAUGAGUUGCGAACGGGUGAGUAACGCGUAGGUAACCUGCCUGGUAGCGGGGAUAACUAUUGGAAACGAUAGCUAAUACCGCAUAACAGUAGAUAUUGCAUGAUAUCUGCUUGAAAGGGGCAAUUGCUCCACUACCAGAUGGACCUGCGUUGUAUUAGCUAGUUGGUGAGGUAACGGCUCACCAAGGCGACGAUACAUAGCCGACCUGAGAGGGUGAUCGGCCACACUGGGACUGAGACACGGCCCAGACUCCUACGGGAGGCAGCAGUAGGGAAUCUUCGGCAAUGGACGGAAGUCUGACCGAGCAACGCCGCGUGAGUGAAGAAGGUUUUCGGAUCGUAAAGCUCUGUUGUAAGAGAAGAACGAGUGUGAGAGUGGAAAGUUCACACUGUGACGGUAUCUACCA